GGCACGAUGGCUGAGCGGUCUAAAGCGUGAGACUCGAAUCAUAUCAACAGAAUAAUUCGUUGUAUCUUAUCUCUUCGGAGGCGUCGGUUCAAAUCCGGCUCGUGUCG